AUUGAACGCUGGCGGCAGGCCUAACACAUGCAAGUCGAGCGGAUGAAGGGAGCUUGCUCUUGGAUUCAGCGGCGGACGGGUGAGUAAUGCCUAGGAAUCUGCCUGGUAGUGGGGGAUAACGUCCGGAAACGGGCGCUAAUACCGCAUACGUCCUGAGGGAGAAAGUGGGGGAUCUUCGGACCUCACGCUAUCAGAUGAGCCUAGGUCGGAUUAGCUAGUUGGUGGGGUAAAGGCCUACCAAGGCGACGAUCCGUAACUGGUCUGAGAGGAUGAUCAGUCACACUGGAACUGAGACACGGUCCAGACUCCUACGGGAGGCAGCAGUGGGGAAUAUUGGACAAUGGGCGAAAGCCUGAUCCAGCCAUGCCGCGUGUGUGAAGAAGGUCCUCGGAUUGUAAAGCACUUUAAGUUGGGAGGAAGGGCAGUAAGUUAAUACCUUGCUGUUUUGACGUUACCAACAGAAUAAGCACCGGCUAACUUCGUG
rnacentral:rRNA from 1 species